rnacentral:rRNA from 1 species
UACGAGAGGCCCAAACGUUAUUCGGAAUUACUGGGCUUAAAGAGUUCGUAGGCGGCAUGAAAAGUAGGGUGUGAAAGCCCUCGGCUUAACCGAGGAAUUGCGCUCUAAACUGUCGUGCUUGAGGAACCUAGAGGUGAGCAGAACAGAUGGUGGAGCGGUGAAAUGCGUUGAUAUCAUCUGGAAUACCGGAGGCGAAGGCGGCUCACUGGGAGUUUUCUGACGCUGAGGAACGAAAGCCAGGGUAGCGAACGGG